UACGAAGGGGGCGAGCGUUGUUCGGAUUUACUGGGCGUAAAGGGCGCGCAGGCGGCUCAUUUUGUCAGGCGUGAAAGCCCCGGGCUUAACCUGGGAACUGCGUUUGAUACGGAUGGGCUAGAGUUCGGGAGAGGAGAGUGGAAUUCCCAGUGUAGAGGUGAAAUUCGUAGAUAUUGGGAAGAACACCGGUGGCGAAGGCGCUCUGCUAGGCCGCAACUGACACUGAGGGACGAAAGCUAGGGGAGCGAAUGGG
rnacentral:rRNA from 1 species